AGUGCUUUGAGUAAACGUUGUAGAUGGAAGAUCAUAACUUUCAACCUUUUAGAAUUAUUAUCUUCUCUGUUCUCCUUAGAUUGCCGUGAAUUAACAUUGUUGAUAAAUAAAGUAAGAUUGGAUAUCAUGUUCCAAAUCUUACCAUCUACUGCUAUUUUUGGGAAUCACAAUAUGAGCUGAAAACAAGAUGAGCAGAUAGUUAUUGAUGUGUAAGACGUGUGCUUCGUUUGGGGUUUAAUUUAGUUUCAGUUGGCUUGAUUAGAUUGGUUAUUUGGCUUCAGAGUUUGAUAAUUGUUGAAUUUUCUUUUCCUUAUUUUUUUGUGUUUGGGAUUUUUUUUAAUUUCUCAUUUUUGUUUUUUUUUAAUUUCCAUGAGUUUGGACUUACUGCAGAAUAAAUUAACUCCUAAGUUUUAUUAAUUGAAAGAUAGAGACGCAAAACAUUGACAGAAUAUAAUUCAUAUAUAUAUAUAUACAUUGACAGAAUAUAAUUCAUAUAUAUAUAUAUAUAUGCCUGCCUUGGUUGCGUGUAUGUUUGUAGAACAGAUGGUAUGAGCUGCA
rnacentral:lncRNA from 1 species